AAAUUGAAGAGUUUGAUCAUGGCUCAGAUUGAACGCUGGCGGCAGGCCUAACACAUGCAAGUCGAACGGUAACAGGAAGCAGCUUGCUGCUUUGCUGACGAGUGGCGGACGGGUGAGUAAUGUCUGGGAAACUGCCUGAUGGAGGGGGAUAACUACUGGAAACGGUGGCUAAUACCGCAUAACGUCGCAAGACCAAAGAGGGGGACCUUCGGGCCUCUUGCCAUCAGAUGUGCCCAGAUGGGAUUAGCUUGUUGGUGAGGUAACGGCUCACCAAGGCGACGAUCCCUAGCUGGUCUGAGAGGAUGACUAGCCACACUGGAACUGAGACACGGUCCAGACUCCUACGGGAGGCAGCAGUGGGGAAUAUUGCACAAUGGGCGCAAGCCUGAUGCAGCCAUGCCGCGUGUAUGAAGAAGGCCUUCGGGUUGUAAAGUACUUUCAGCGG
rnacentral:rRNA from 1 species